CUAGCGGAAAAUGAAAUAUUGUUUGCAGCAAAACAGAGUGUACCGUCGACAUAGCUUUUUCUGUUACUUUUACAUUAAGAAAUAUGCGUAGGUAUGCCGGGGCCUGAUUUUAAUUUAAAAUUAAUGUUUUUUAAAAUUGUUUGUAAAAGUUUAUUACACUAUUUGAAUUUGUCAGUUAAAGUUUGUGAUGUUUAGUCAUGUAGAAGUUUUUUGUCCGAUGAAGUGACAUAAGUGAAGAUCCUAGUCCACUAGCAAUAGGUAUUGAACCUUUUUCCAGCUUGAACCUGUACUUCCAGAAAGUGUUGGGGAAGUAGACAGGCCAAGUUUGCCAUAAAAAAAACAAGUGAAGCUGAGCAAAUCAAAAAUACAAUUUGGUACGGGAAUGACGUGAAAGGGAAAACAGAAAGGUUUUAUCAGUACUGAUCAAAAGUAUAAGCGAACAACAUUAUAGUGACGGUUGAAACAUUUACAAGAAUAUUUCAUCAUUCAGUUUUGAAUGGUCUUGUUUCAUACAAAAUGUGAUUCAUGCAAGAGUUAUGUUGUUUUAAAUUAAGUACAUUUAAAAUUACUAGAAAUACAUAUAUAAAUAUUGGAUUAUUUUCAUUGUUUUGAAUAAAGAAUGCUCGUACCAGAUGGUGGAUUUGUUUCUUCUUUGUUCUUCUCUGGUCUCCAAAUAAAUGCUAUACUUACUU